rnacentral:rRNA from 1 species
CUUAGGCGUGUGACUGCGUACCUUUUGUAUAAUGGGUCAGCGACUUAUAUUCUGUAGCAAGGUUAACCGAAUAGGGGAGCCGAAGGGAAACCGAGUCUUAACUGGGCGUUAAGUUGCAGGGUAUAGACCCGAAACCCGGUGAUCUAGCCAUGGGCAGGUUGAAGGUUGGGUAACACUAACUGGAGGACCGAACCGACUAAUGUUGAAAAAUUAGCGGAUGACUUGUGGCUGGGGGUGAAAGGCCAAUCAAACCGGGAGAUAGCUGGUUCUCCCCGAAAGCUAUUUAGGUAGCGCCUCGUGAAUUCAUCUCCGGGGGUAGAGCACUGUUUCGGCAAGGGGGUCAUCCCGACUUACCAACCCGAUGCAAACUGCGAAUACCGGAGAAUGUUAUCACGGGAGACACACGGCGGGUGCUAACGUCCGUCGUGAAGAGGGAAACAACCCAGACCGCCAGCUAAGGUCCCAAAGUCAUGGUUAAGUGGGAAACGAUGUGGGAAGGCCCAGACAGCCAGGAUGUUGGCUUAGAAGCAGCCAUCAUUUAAAGAAAGCGUAAUAGCUCACUGGUCGAGUCGGCCUGCGCGGAAGAUGUAACGGGGCUAAACCAUGCACCGAAGCUGCGGCAGCGACGCUGAUGCGUUGUUGGGUAGGGGAGCGUUCUGUAAGCCUGCGAAGGUGUGCUGUGAGGCAUGCUGGAGGUAUCAGAAGUGCGAAUGCUGACAUAAGUAACGAUAAAGCGGGUGAAAAGCCCGCUCGCCGGAAGACCAAGGGUUCCUGUCCAACGUUAAUCGGGGCAGGGUGAGUCGACCCCUAAGGCGAGGCCGAAAGGCGUAGUCGAUGGGAAACAGGUUAAUAUUCCUGUACUUGGUGUUACUGCGAAGGGGGGACGGAGAAGGCUAUGUUGGCCGGGCGACGGUUGUCCCGGUUUAAGCGUGUAGGCUGGU